ensembl:lncRNA
ACUAGAAUCUGAUUCAGAAGAUAAACGAAAAACAGCACCGUCAUACUGCACUUGACAGUCACUUGACUUUUAUUGCGAUAAGAUUCAGUGGAAUCUGUUCCACUUGAGGUGCGCGGAUCAUCGCACUAAUUGGAUAACAAUAUUUUUGGGGGAAUUCCUUAAAUGAACCAAACACUGAAACCAACUUUAAUGGGUCGUUGACACAGACAUUGACAGAUACUCGCUAGUUUACAGCUAGUCACGCACAUGAUGUUCUCCGACGAUAUAAUGCGAUCAAACCAGACUGACUGCAGCUGUCACCAGCUGUCAUGUGGAAACCGGGAAGGCCCCUCCUUUUGGUAACUUGUCCUCUCCGCUCGAUUCAAACUCACACGGAGCAUGUCUAGAAGCGAUAUAGCCCCAGCCAAUGCAGAGGCAAAACGAAAGCGAUGAGAUCCAGCAGUGACGGAAGUUUAAUUCCAAUGGACUAUGAGCGUUUCAAAUUCUUAAAGACGGGGAAAGCAUUCGAGUCAAUAAAACAACUGACCACCAAACUGAUUCACGUGGAAAAUCAGUAGGAAAGCAUGCAUUUCCAUCUGUUCAUCUUGAAACGAGUUUGCAGUGACGGCUUCGGUCUGCAUGUGAAUAUGGCUCAAAAAUGACCAAUGCAUCGUCUUGGUACUUCUGUUUUGAUGCUUAUUAUACUACCUCUUGCGUUUUCCUGUGAAAGUGGCCACAAUAAAAAACAGAUCACCGAGGAUUACCGCAAUAUCAUUAAGAUUCAGCUGAAGCACGUUGAGGCUAUGACUGAACAACUAAAUUCAAACUGCACAAUAAGAAAUGUGAGCAUGUUGAAGGAGCCAACAAAUACACAACAGUCCACCCACAGAAAAAUCUGCAGGGUUAAUGGAAAACUGAGGAGAAUCAUGAGGGAAUCAGAGAAUGUAAAUGGACAACUAAAAGAUGGUUUAUAUAAGCUUGUGGAAGAAAUAAAUGCGUCUUUGAGAUGUUGGUGUCAUCAGAAGAGGGAGGGGACAAAAGAGCUGAAACAGCAAAGACGAAAGUGGAAGAUUUGCAGAGUGAAAGACAUUCUUGCCAACUUAGAGAUACAAUAUGAACAAUACAAUACGUAUCUGUCCCUCAGCACAGACCUUCCAGAGCGUGGGAAGACUUCAGAGCAAACCGGUAUAUAAUACUUGGCCUCCAUCCAUCUCUCUUACAAGAUUUGAUUGUACAGAAUAUGAAGUAACUGGACUAACCAUAUGCCUUUCACACUAUUCAGUAUUUGUCUGAGGACAAAGUGUUUUUUAUGGGAAAAUAUAUGCAAAGCAUUAACAUGAAAAAUACUACUAUGCAUGAAAAUGUAUCAAAACUUUGUACUUUGUAUUGUUAUCUUUGCUAUUAAUUGCUGAAUGAGUACAGAGGGUGUGCAAAUGAAACUUACAGUGUUUCUGUACAUUGCUGUAAGUGACAAAGUUGGCCAAAGCCUAUUAUAUUAACUCUCUAGGCCUCAAGUUAGAACUUUAUGGUCUACAUCUGCUUCUUAUUUGGGGAAGUGAUUCAGCUCACCCAAUUCGAAUCAUUCUUAGCAAGCUGAUGAUUAAGCUACCAUUGAAACACUUGUUUUUUCAAACAAAAUUGGGAUUGCUUUAUUUAAUUGCAAACCUCUGGAAUGGGCAUAUAAGUACACAUAUAUAAUUUCAAUCCACCUGUCGUAUAUUCCAAAUACUGUAAACCCACCAUUGCAUUUUAUUAAAUAAACACUUCAGUUUCGAUGCA